rfam:Nosema ceranae BRL01 Nc000066, whole genome shotgun sequence.
GGCAACGUGGCCGAGUGGUUAAGGCGUUGGAUUAGAAAUCCAGUGGGCUUGCCCGCACAGGUUCGAAUCCUGUCGUUGUCG